GUUGAAGCACCGGUUUCUGUGCGAUUACUGAAGUUAAGCAACGUCGAGACUGGGCAGUACCUAGAUCGGUAGCCGCUUGCGAAUACUAGGUGAUGUAAUC